GCUUGCGAUGUGCCUAAUGUAUGCAAGUCGAACGAUUCCUGUAUCUUCGGAUACAGGGAGUGGCAAACGGCUGAGUAACGCGUAGGAACCUACCCCAAACUCGAGUAUAGCCCCGCGAAAGCGGGGGUAAUCCUCGAUAGCCCGUGAAGUAUUUUACUUCACGGUAAAGCUUUUGCGGUUUGGGAUGGGCCUGCGUCCUAUCAGGUAGUUGGUGAGGUAAAUGCUCACCAAGCCUAUGACGGGUAGCUGGUCUGAGAGGAUGGUCAGCCAGACUGGGACUGCGACACGGCCCAGACUCCUACGGGAGGCAGCAACUAGGAAUUGUGCGCAAUGGACGAAAGUCUGACGCCGCGACAUCGCGUGGAGGAUGAAGGUCUUCGGAUUGUAAACUCCUUUUCUUACCGAACAAGUUCUGAGUGUAGGUAAGGAAUAAGUGCCUGCUAACCACGUGCCAGAAGCAUCGGUAAUACGUGGGGCACGAGCGUUAUCCGGAUUUACUGGGCGUAAAGAGGAGCGUACGCGGCUCGAUAAGUUUGGUGUUAAAUCUUCCGGCUCAACCGGAAACAAGCACCGAAAACUAUCGAGAUUGAGUCGAGUAGGGAAGAGGGGAAUUCCUGGUGGAGCGGUUAAAUGCGUAGAUAUCAGGAGGAAUACCAAGGGCGAAGGCACCUCUUUGGACUCGUACUGACGCUGAGGCUCGAAAGCGUGGGUAGCAAAACGGAUUAGAUACCCGUGUAGUCCACGCCGUAAACGAUCCCUGUUAGAUGU
rnacentral:rRNA from 1 species